rnacentral:ncRNA from 21 species
UGUCGAAACCAUGCAACAGGUUUUUGCCGGGACGAAUCCCGGCAAUACCAAAAAGGGAAUGCGACGGACGGACCCAAUCCGGGCGUCUUUAUCGCAGCCGACCCCGCGACUGUAGAGCGGAGAGGGAUGAGGCAAACCGGGCAACCGGUAACCACUGGAGGCUGCAAAGCUUCUGGGAAGGUAGCUUCAAUCCCCGCGACCCGUGAGCCAGGAGACCUGCCUGUUGCGUGAGGGCAUUG